rnacentral:rRNA from 1 species
GACGAACGCUGGCGGCGUGCUUAACACAUGCAAGUCGAACGGAAAGGCCCUGCUUGCAGGGUACUCGAGUGGCGAACGGGUGAGUAACACGUGGGUGAUCUGCCCUGCACUUCGGGAUAAGCUUGGGAAACUGGGUCUAAUACCGGAUAGGAGCCAUCUUUAGUGUGGUGGUUGGAAAGUUUUUUCGGUGUAGGAUGAGCUCGCGGCCUAUCAGCUUGUUGGUGGGGUAAUGGCCUACCAAGGCGGCGACGGGUAGCCGGCCUGAGAGGGUGUACGGCCACAUUGGGACUGAGAUACGGCCCAGACUCCUACAGGAGGGAGCAGUGGGGAAUAUUGCACAAUGGGCGCAAGCCUGAUGCAGCGACGCCGCGUGGGGGAUGAAGGCCUUCGGGGUGUAAACUCCUUUCGCUAGGGACGAAGCUUUUUUGUGACGGUACCUAGAGAAGAAGCACCGGCUAACUACGUG